rnacentral:rRNA from 1 species
AAUCAACGCUGGCGGCGCGCUUAACACAUGCAAGUCGAACGAGAAAGUGGAGCAAUCCAUGAGUACAGUGGCGUACGGGUGAGUAACACGUGGGUAAUCUGCCUUCUGGUGUGGAAUAACCCUGGGAAACCGGGGCUAAUACCGCAUAAGCUCUAGCGAGGAAAGUCGCAAGACGCCGGAAGAGGAGCCCGCGGCCGAUUAGCUAGUUGGCAGGGUAAGAGCCUACCAAGGCGAAGAUCGGUAGCCGGCCUGAGAGGGCACACGGCCACACUGGCACUGAAACACGGGCCAGACACCUACGGGUGGCUG